CAUCUGCAGACAGGAAGGGGGAGGUGAAUUGACAGCCCAGUGCUCCCAGGGAGAUCAACAAGUGCUUCUGCAAGGGUGCCUGUGUGGGUGGAGCACCUCCAAAUCCCAGUCCUGCAGCGCCCCAGCACCUCCCUCACCCCUGCACGGUCCAGGAAGCAAAUUCUCUGUUGCUGGAGACAACCCUAAAGGGCUCACCCUCUGGGUCGUACACAAGAGCUAUGUCCCGAAGGGAAGUUGGUACUUGCCAGAAGGCCCCAGGGUACCCACCCCACUUGGCCUCUCCACCCCAAAGCCCCAGGGAGUGGCCAGGAGCAUCAGACAGCCUGCAAGGGAUGAGGAAGAGGUCCGUCGGGAGAGACCCCAGCACCUGCUCCAGCUCCGAGGAGUGCAGAGCGGGGCUCUGAGGACAAAAGUGGGCGAGGCUCCCGCGCUGCAGCCGCCACCACCUCCCACAGCCUCUUCUAGCUCUCGCGGGACCGAAUCGUCGCACCUCCCCUCUGUCUCGCGGGCCCCGCCUUACCACUGCUGCUGCGAAAUUCUAUUGGCCAAGCCUGCCGCCAUUCUUCAGUUGCUAUGAAGUUCACCGCAUUCCUGUUGACCUAGUCUCACUACUCUUACCCUCCCCUCCAGUUUGUCUGUGCCCUUACAAAACCCCGCCACGCCCACACUGCCAGCAAGACCGUGAGCUAAUGUCAUUGGCUCACGUAGAUUUCCGUCAACCGCUACCAUGGGGAUUGCCCCGCCUCUCCCCUACUAAUACCUGACGUCUACUCCCUCAUUGGACGAAAGCGUCGUCUCUCCUAGCAAAUACUGGUUGGGUCAGGUUAUCUAGGUCCAAAUAGAAGAGGGCGGGUCCCGUUCCCUCCAGAAUUCUUAUGUGAUUGGCUGAAACGGGCUAUCUUUCCAUUGGCUACAUCUCUGUCGGUCAUUAUAGUUGCGACCUCCUCAUUCCCCCCCCCCCAGACACAGGGCAGAGAAAUCCAGGGCUGCGGGCCGGAGGCGGUUGAGUGGCUUUGAGUGCACCUCCUUCUCUCCUUUCCCUUGUGGCCUGCGGUUACCAAGUCGACAAAACUUUAUUAACAGUCCUUCCUAGCUACAAACGGCUUCGCCUUCUCUCCCUCUACCGUUACCACGUUUCAUUUUGGAAAAACGUAUACACGGGGACUCUGUGAGGCUUUUUUGUCAUAUAACCCGAUCGGAAGGAGAAGAGCCUGGGAACAGGGGCUUAGGAGAGAAGCCCUGACUUAGGAGAGAAGCCCUGACUUAAGGGGCGCUCGCUGCAGCCCUCCCCCAUUAAGAUCAUGUUCCUGCUUCCUCGUCAGCAUUAGCACAACAUGCUCCACGCUCAGAGCA